ensembl:lncRNA
UCUGUGUGUGUUGUGUUUGUGUGUGUCAAACUGUCCUAACAAAAACAGCCCCAAAACUGGAGAGACUCCAGAGUCUCUGGAAAAACUAUACAAGAGACUGAUUGACCCCUGUGUGGGUAACACAACCGUUGGACAUUCCCUUUGUUUAACAGGAGUGUUUGAAGGAGUGGCUCUUCCGUUACUCAGGAAACAAAAGAGCAAUUUUAGACUUACAGGAACUCAGAGUCUGAAGCGACUACUGCGGGAGCUGUAUGCCUGUUCGUCGUUUUCAUAGUGAACCUCUGGAAAACGCAGAGAUUCUCUAUGAAGACACAUAUCGAACUGGUAUAAGAUGUAACCUCAUUUUCUUCACCCACUCUGGAACACACUACAGGGCUGCAAUAGAAGAAGCUUACCCUCAAUCCAAGGCUAUUCGAAUGGAAAUAAACAAGAAAUUCAAACUUGAGCUCUUUGAUGGAGGCACUGUGUCUAUAUUUGACAGUGGAAUCAUUGUGAUUCAAGGUACAGAAGAAAACCUUGAUGCAUUUGAGAACAGGUUUGACACAAUUAAACAAAACGUAAACAGCAGAAGACAAGAACAGGUGCAGAAAACAUUACAGCAAAUGAAAGUUGAAGAAUCUGAUUCUGAAACAGAAGGACGAGACAAACAGAAACAGUCUAAAUGAAAUGUGAUACAACAAGAAAAAAACAGGAAACAGCAGAAACAAUAUGGACAUUUGAACUAUUAGUAAGUGAAUAUUAAAGUUUUUGCUCCUUGUGUUUAAAAAUUAUUAGAUAUUUAAGUCUGACUUGCAAUAUUUUUAUAAUCUUUAUUCUCUUUUAAAUUCUGCUGUUCAUUUGAUGUAUCAUUGUUUUUUAUAUCAUAUUUCAUAUUACAAAUAUGAAUCUCUUUCAGUCUGUAGGUUUGAAGAAUUAUAGUUUUGUACCCACUGAGGUCCGUCUCAUAUCUGAAGGUCACAGCAUCAGCGUUCAGGUACAUGUCCUACAGAUCAGUUAGGUUAAGAUAAAACAUGGGAUAUUAUUUUAUAUUAUAUUGAUUUUGCUUUGCCUUUGCUAAUUUAUAGAAAUAAAAUAUCAUGCAUACAAAAGUCUAACCUGUGGACAUUCCCUUUGUUUAAAACUUUUAAAUAAGUAUUACAUCUAUUAAUGGCUCUUACCAGUUCUUCUAGCUACUUACUGGUUGAGCCAAAUGGCACUGCUCAAACAUGAAUCUAAAGGCCUGUAUACAGUGGCUUGCAAAAGCAUUCGGCCCCCUUGAACCUUUCCACAUUUUGUCACAUUACAGCCACAAACAUGAAUCAAUUUUAUUGGAAUUCCACGUGAAAGACCA